UCGAGAGGCUUCGGCAAUGGGGGAAACCCUGACCGAGCGACGCCGCGUGGGGGAUGAAGGCCCUUGGGUUGUAAACCCCUUUUGUUCGGGAAGAAAUGCGAUCAGGUGAAUAAUCUGGUCGUUUGACGGUACCGGACGAAUAAGCUCCGGCUAACUCCGUGCCAGCAGCCGCGGUAACACGGGGGGAGCAAGCGUUGUUCGGAAUCACUGGGCGUAAAGGGCGUGUAGGCGGUCAGGUAAGUGAAAUGUGAAAUGCCUCGGCUCACCCGAGGACCGGCAUCUCAUACUGCCUGACUUGAGUACGGGAGAGGAUGUGGGAAUUCCUGGUGUAGCGGUGAAAUGCGUAGAUAUCAGGAGGAACACCGGUGGCGAAGGCGCACAUCUGGCCCGAUACUGACGCUGAGGCGCGAAAGCUAGGGGAGCAAACGGGAUUAGAUACCCCUGUAGUCC
rnacentral:rRNA from 1 species